AUCUCAAAGGUUUCGUCGCUCUGAGUUCAACGGUGGUCUUGGAUUUUUGAUCCAAAGGUCAGAUCAUUGAGAAAAUGGCUAGAAAGCUGCUAUCACCCAUUUUCUCUCUCUUCUCUCCAUUGCCAGAAAACUCUAUGGAAUCUAGUGAGAGAGGUCGGAAAAGGAACCUAGAGGGUAGAGGAGUCAUUUGCCACCAGUUACAGGUCUAGCUGCUACCAAGAGCCAUCGAAAUCGACCUUAGAAGGUGAUGAUUCGUGUCACUCUCUCUCCUCCAAAACACAUCAGAUCUUCGCCGGCCGCCGUGGAGCUUACCGGUUGACACUGGAGUUCGGUGGUCCACCAUCGGUGUCACUGGUUUGCCGGUAGGAGGGAAGACGAGAGAGACAAAGUGAGGGAGGGAGUGAGAUCGAGGA
rnacentral:misc_RNA from 1 species